rnacentral:rRNA from 1 species
UCCAAUAGCGUAUAUUAAAGUUGUUGCAGUUAAAAAGCUCGUAGUUGGAUUUGUGGCGGUCGCAUGCGGCCCGGCAUUCGUGUCGGUGUUUGCUCGCGUCGCCAUCCUUGGGUGGAACCUGUGUGGCAUUAGGUUGUCGUGCAGGGGAUGCCCAUCAUUUACUGUGAAAAAAUUAGAGUGUUCAAAGCAGGCUUAUGCCGUUGAAUAUAUUAGCAUGGAAUAAUAAGAUAGGACCUUGGUACUAUUUUGUUGGUUUGCGCACCAAGGUAAUGAUUAAUAGGGACAGUUGGGGGUAUUCGUAUUCCAUUGUCAGAGGUGAAAUUCUUGGAUUUCUGGAAGACGAACUACUGCGAAAGCAUUUACCAAGGAUGUUUUCAUUAAUCAAGAACGAAAGUUAGGGGAUCGAAGAUGAUUAGAUACCAUCGUAGUCUUAACCAUAAACUAUGCCGACAAGGGAUUGGCGGAGUCUCGUU